rnacentral:lncRNA from 1 species
AACUAUACAAUACAUACAGACAUCAUAUCUUUGUAAUAAUUGUUCUAUUGUAUCUAUCACAACUUCAUUUAUAAUGUCUUCAUCUAACACCCCAGUCAUGGCCUUGUAACAUCCUAGUCUGGCAUUUGUGACAUCAUAGUCGUACACAAUCAACUUUAUAAUACAUACAGACAUCAUAUCUUUGUAAUAAUUGUUCUAUUGUAUCUAUCACACCUACAUAUAUAAGGUCUACAUCUAACACAUCAUAUCUUUGUAAUAAUUGUUCUAUUGUAUCUAUCACACCUUCAUUUAUAAUGUCUUUAUCUAACACCCUAGUCAUGCCCUUGUAACACCCUAGUCUGGCAUUUGUGACAUCCUAGUCAUACACAAUCAACUUUAUAAUACAUACAGACAACAUAUCUUUGUAAUAAUUGUUCUACUGUAUCUAUCACACCUACAUGUAUAAUGUCCUUUCUAACAUCCAUGGCAUGCCCUUGUAACACCCUAGUCAGGCAUUUAUGACAUUCUAGUAAUACACAAUCAACUAUAUAAUACAUACAGACAACAUAUCUUUGUAAUAAUUGUUCUACUGUAUCUAUCACACCACAUGUAUAAGGUCUACAUCUAACACCCCAGUCAUGCCCUCAUAGCACCCUAGUCAGGCAUUUGGGACAUCCUAGUCAUACACAAUCAACUAUGCAAUACAUACAGACAUCAUAUCUUUUUAAUAAUUGUUCUAUUGUAUCUAUCACACAUUCAUUUAUAAUGUCUUCAUCUAACACCCCAGUCAUGCCCUUGUAACAUCCUAGUCUGGCAUUUGUGACAUCCUAGUCAUACACAAUCAACUAUAUAAUAAAUACAGACAUCAUGUCUUUGUAAUAAUUGUUCUAUUGUAUCUAUCACACCUACAUAUAUAAGGUCUACAUCUAACACCCCAGUCAUGCCCUCAUAACACCCUAGUCAGGCAUUUGUGACAUCCUAGUCAUACACCAUCAACUAUAUAAUACAUACAGAGACAUCAUAUCUUUGUAAUAAUUGUUCUAUUGUAUCUAUCACACCUUCAUUAAUAAUGUCUUCUUCUAACACCUCAGUCAUGCCCUUGUAACACCCUAGUCAGGCAUUUGUGACAUCCAAGUCAUACACAAUCAUCUAUAUAAUACAUACAGAC